rnacentral:rRNA from 1 species
CAGCAGCCGCGGUAAUACGAAGGUCCCAAGCGCUGUUCGGAAUCACUGGGCGUAAAGGGAGCGUAGGCGGCGUGGUAAGUCAGAUGUGAAAUCCCGGGGCUCAACCCCGGAACUGCAUCCGAUACUGCCAUGCUUGAGGGUUGGAGAGGUAGCUGGAAUUCUCGGUGUAGCAGUGAAAUGCGUGGAUAUCGAGAGGAACACUCGUGGCGAAGGCGAGCUACUGGACAACAUCUGACGCUGAGGCUCGAAGGCUAGGGUAGCGAAAGGGAUUAGAGACCCGCGUAGUCCCUGUCUCUUAUAC